GAAAUUUUCAUCAGUGGAAUUUUAUUUUUACAUAUCCAAGCAUUAUAAUUUAUAAACAACUUACCAGACUUCCAACUGCAAUAUUACCCGAGACAAUUCUAUUUUGGAAACAAUAUAAAGGCAGGAAAAACAACACUGUUAAGAAGAUCCACCAACGAAUGUGUCAAAAGAGGAUAGCACAAACAAAAUUCCACNAAAAUUUCUUGGCAGAACUGACAAACAGGCUAUCCACAAUCUUGCCCAUGUUGGAAAUGGUUUCUAAAGUUGCAGGGUAGAUUGCAUCUGUCUUCUGAUCUUCAAAUAUGAUGAGGCACCCAGCACCCUGAUCCAAUGUCCCAGCAAACUUCUUGUCCAGAAUCAUCUGUGACAGCUUCUUUUCCGGAUGAUCAAUUGAUAAUUCAAUCAGUUCAGCUAUAUGGGCAAUCUCAACCCUUGAGAAAGGCUCAAUCAAUCUGCACAGAUAUUGUUGAGAGAUGCCUGAGGACAAUUGGGUCUUCCUCCAGCUGGGCCUUAUAAUUGCGCAGGGGCA
rnacentral:misc_RNA from 1 species